UACGGGGGGGGCAAGCGUUGUUCGGAAUUACUGGGCGUAAAGGGCUCGUAGGUGGCCAACUAAGUCAUACGUGAAAUCCCUCAGCUUAACUGGGGAACUGCGCCUGAUACUGGUUGGCUUGAGUUUGGGAGAGGGACGCGGAAUUCCAGGUGUAGCGGUGAAAUGCGUAGAUAUCUGGAGUAACACCGGUGGCGAAGGCGGCGUCCUGGACCAAUACUGACACUGAGGAGCGAAAGCCAGGGGAGCAAACGGG
rnacentral:rRNA from 1 species